AUGACCUUGGUGUUCACCUUGAUGCUUGAGGUCCUCCUGUUCCUGAGAGGAACGGGAGCCCAGUCAGUGACCCAGCCUGACGGCCGCAUCACUGUCUCUGAAGGAGCCCGUCUGGAGCUGAGGUGCAAAUACUCAUCUUCUGUUCAACCGACUCUCUUCUGGUACGUGCAGUACCCCAAUCAAGGACUCCAGCUUCUCCUGGAGUACACAUCUAGAAACAGCCUUGUCUCAGGUAUCAAAGGUUUUGAGGCUGAAUUUAGGAAGAGUGAGACCUCCUUCCACCUGAGGAAAACAUCAGCCCAUUGGAAAGACUCGGCCAAGUACUUCUGUGCUCUGAGUGACACAGUGACUAAGACUACAGUGGGAGAUGAACACAAACCUCCUGACACAUAG